AUCCUUUUGUAGUACAUGAGCAUGAUGAUUUAAUUUCCACACCCAGGUGUAAGACAUGCCUCUCUCAAACCUUGUUAUGAGGUCAGCACAUUACGCUUCUGAUA
ensembl:snoRNA